rnacentral:rRNA from 1 species
AUUGAACGCUGGCGGCAGGCUUAACACAUGCAAGUCGAGCGGGGGGAGGUAGCUUGCUACCUAACCUAGCGGCGGACGGGUGAGUAAUGCUUAGGAAUCUGCCUAUUAGUGGGGGACAACAUUUCGAAAGGGAUGCUAAUACCGCAUACGCCCUAAGGGAGAAAGCAGGGGAUCUUCGGACCUUGCGCUAAUAGAUGAGCCUAAGUCGGAUUAGCUAGUUGGUGGGGUAAAGGCCUACCAAGGCGACGAUCUGUAGCGGGUCUGAGAGGAUGAUCGGGCACACUGGGACUGAGACACGGCCCAGACUCCUACGGGAGGCAGCAGUGGGGAAUAUUGGACAAUGGGGGGAACCCUGAUCCAGCCAUGCCGCGUGUGUGAAGAAGGCCUUUUGGUUGAAAAGCACUUUAAGCGAGGAGGAGGCUACCGAGAUUAAUACUCUUGGAUAGUGGACGUUACUCGCAGAAUAAGCACCGGCUAACUCUGUGCCAGCCGCCGCUGUAAUAC